rnacentral:tRNA from 1 species
GGCUAUAUCGUAUAUUGGUAAUACAAUAGAUUGCAAAUCUGUUUAAAUUUGUUCGAUUCAAAUUAUAGCCU